UACGGAGGGUGCUAGCGUUAUCCGGAAUCACUGGGCGUAAAGGGCGCGUAGGCGGUUCGCAAAGUCCGAUGUUAAAGAGCGGGGCUCAACCCCGUCACGGCGUCGGAUACUUGCGGGCUAGACGGCUGGAGAGGUGAGUGGAAUUACCAGUGUAGCGGUGAAAUGCGUAGAUACUGGUAGGAACACCCAUUGCGAAGGCAGCUCACUGGACAGCACGUGACGCUGAGGCGCGAAAGCGUGGGGAGCAAACCGG
rnacentral:misc_RNA from 1 species